ensembl:lncRNA
UAGGGAACAGUGAGUAAUAGUGAGUAGGGAACAGUGAGUAAUAGUGAGGAACAGUGAGUAGGGAACAGUGAGUAGGGAACAGUGAGUAGGGAACAGUGAGUAAUAGUGAGUAGGGAACAGUGAGUAGGGAACAGUGAGUAAUAGUGAGUAGGGGACAGUGAGUGGGGAACAGUGAGUAGGGAACAGUGAGUAGGGAACAGUGAGUAGGGAACAGUGAGUAGGGAACAGUGAGUAAUAGUGAGUAGGGAACAGUGAGUAGGGAACAGUGAGUAGGGAACAGUGAGUAGGGAACAUGGAAUAUCGAGUAAGGAGUAGUGAGUAAGGAGGAGUAGGGAAUAGUGAAUAUUGUAUAGAGGAAGUAGAGAGUAGAGAAUAGGGAGUAGUGGAGAGGGCAUAUGGUACAGGAAGUAGGGGAUAGAGAGUAGUGAGUAGGGGAUCGGGAAUAGGGAAUAGAGGAUCGGGAA